rnacentral:rRNA from 1 species
UACGAAGGGGGCUAGCGUUGCUCGGAAUCACUGGGCGUAAAGCGCACGUAGGCGGCUUUCUAAGUCAGGGGUGAAAUCCUGGAGCUCAACUCCAGAACUGCCUUUGAUACUGGAGAGCUUGAGUCCGGGAGAGGUGAGUGGAACUCCGAGUGUAGAGGUGAAAUUCGUAGAUAUUCGGAAGAACACCAGUGGCGAAGGCGGCUCACUGGCCCGGUACUGACGCUGAGGUGCGGAAAGCGUGGGGAGCAACAGGG